rnacentral:rRNA from 1 species
GGGUCCGCACAAGCGGUGGAGCAUGUGGUUUAAUUCGAUGCAACGCGAAGAACCUUACCAGGGCUUAAAUGUAGUGGGACAGGUCUAGAGAUAGACCCUUCUUCGGACUCAUUACAAGGUGCUGCAUGGUUGUCGUCAGCUCGUGCCGUGAGGUGUCAGGUUAAGUCCUAUAACGAGCGCAACCCCUAUCGUUAGUUGCCAGCGAGUAAUGUCGGGAACUCUAACGAAACUGCCAGUGCAAACUGUGAGGAAGGUGGGGAUGACGUCAAAUCAUCACGGCCCUUACGUCCUGGGCUACACACGUGCUACAAUGGCCGGUACAGAGAGCAGCCACUUCGCAAGAAGGAGCGAAUCUAUUAAAACCGGUCUCAGUUCGGAUCGGAGUCUGCAACUCAACUCCGUGAAGCUGGAAUCGCUAGUAA